UACGAAGGGGGCUAGCGUUGUUCGGAAUUACUGGGCGUAAAGCGCACGUAGGCGGGUCGUUAAGUCAGGGGUGAAAUCCCAGAGCUCAACUCUGGAACUGCCUUUGAUGCUGGCGACCUAGAGUUCGGAAGAGGUUAGUGGAAUUCCCAGUGUAGAGGUGAAAUUCGUAGAUAUUGGGAAGAACACCAGUGGCGAAGGCGGCUAACUGGUCCGAUACUGACGCUGAGGUGCGAAAGCGUGGGGAGCGAACAGG
rnacentral:rRNA from 1 species